CUCCACUGUACUGUCCAGCAACAAGGAAGAGGCACUGCCGGAAGACAGCAAGGGAGCGAAAGGGAGAAACAGAGAGAGAGAAGACAGUGCUUCCUUGAUUUCCUGAUUAUACAUUUUGCCCAGGGUUCCUUGAGUUUUAAUAAUAAAAUCCCUUUUGCUUGUUUCCAGAAAGUUUCUAUUUCUUACAAUCAAAGGAUCCCCUAUUUCAAACACUUAGCACCCUACCCAGUAUUUAGUGAGUUCUCUUCAUGUGCUUGUUGUUUUCUUAUUGUGCUAAGGGAUUUAUUGAGAUUCAUCGAAAGUCCUUGGAGAAUAGAAAGGAAAGUAGGAAGAAGGUAAUGAUGUAGUCCCCAGCUGGUGCAAUUGUGGAGGAUCUUAAAAAUGGGUGAUAUUUGGACAGGUAGAAGUGGAAGCCAGAGAAUCCAUACAGAAGGAAAGGCCAGCAAAAGCAAAUGGGAGGGCUUCAUUGGGGAGGGAGGAAUUUGGGAGCUGGGAUAAGGUGCAUUUUGGAAAAGAUGCUGGGCUUGGCUUAGAGGGGCUUCAUAUUCCACAUGAUGUGAUUUUCCUCUAUUCAGAAAGGUUUUCGGCGGAAGCAAUAGGGACCAAGAGACAGCUUUCUUUUUUCUUUUCUUUUUUUUUUUUUUUAACCAGAAAAGUGACAACUUAAAAACUUUCUUUAAACAUAUCACUCUGACACCAAUGUGUAAGAUGAAGUGGACAGGAAUGGAACUGUACUGGGAGGCUCUGACAGUUCGGGUGAGAAGAAAUGAAGGGUAAAUAUCUGAGUGGAAUGACUGGAUCAUAUGUUCCAGGGGCUUAAUCUUGAAACAGGGAGACCAAGUCUGGAGACCCAGCUGCAAAGUUCCAGAGAUUACUUCCAGGUGGCUCAUUAACAACCUGGCCAUUGUUGUGAUGACGUCAGCCUGAGGUCUCAGGUCCCAGGUCCCAGGUGGACUGAGACCCAAGACAGCCACCAGAACAAGACACACAGACAUUGUACUCAGCCCAAUGCUUGAAUGCCUUCCUUAUCAAGUUUUCCCAUUUUAAACCCUUGCCUUCCCCCCAAAAUCAAAGCAGUUACUUUGGAUAGGAAUCCAGCUGCUUCUUCUUUACUAGUUUUGGUUAAUAAAUUCACUUUCUUCCUACCGGA
rnacentral:lncRNA from 1 species